rnacentral:rRNA from 1 species
UACGUAGGGGCCUAGCGUUGUCCGGAUUUAUUGGGCGUAAAGAGCUCGUAGGCGGUUUGGUGAGUCGGGUGUGAAAUCUCCACGCUCAACGUGGAGGGGCCACCCGAUACUGCCAUGACUAGAGUCCGGUAGGGGAGUGUGGAAUUCCCGGUGUAGCGGUGAAAUGCGCAGAUAUCGGGAGGAACACCAGUAGCGAAGGCGACACUC